rnacentral:rRNA from 1 species
CCCUUAGAUGUCCUGGGCCGCACGCGCGCUACACUGAUGCAUUCAACGAGUUUACCUUGGCCGAGAGGCCUGGGCAAUCUUUUAAACCUGCAUCGUGAUAGGGAUAGAUUAUUGCAAUUAUUAAUCUUGAACGAGGAAUUCCUAGUAAACGCAGAUCAUCAAUCUGCAUUGAUUACGUCCCUGCCCUUUGUACACACCGCCCGUCGCACCUACCGAUUGAAUGGUCCGGUGAAGCCUCGGGAUUGUGGCCAGCUCGCUUUAUUGGGAGUUGGUCGCGAGAACUUGUCUAAACCUUAUCAUUUAGAGGAAGGUGAAGUCGUAACA